UUGAUAAGAGAAGUUGAGUGUCUCUGUUUACUUCUUUAGAAAACCUGCAGCAAAGCUCCUGGAAGCAGACGGCAGGAUGAUCUGCACGUGGUGUGAAGGCAGAUGCAGCACAGGAACCCCCUCUCCCAAGUGGGUGGGAAAGAUGCUGGUCCUUGUCUCACGGAGUCAAAGAAUGCAUCUCGUGGUCGAAAAAGAGUGUUAAACUUUUCCAAGGGCCAGGAGUCAUACCAGAGAAAGAGCCAACGCAGUUGAUUACCAUUAUUACUUUGCAAAUUUUUAGGGGAAAGAUUUCUUCUCCCUGGCAAUCCUGGAUAAGGAGGACAUGAGGGUUUAACAGGUGGCCUUUCCUGAGGAGAGACCUCAGGAGACAAGUCUAACUGUAAGAUAGUACUGUACUGAAUACUUCCCUCAAGAGGCCAGGAUUCUCCAUCCUCCAGAAGAUACUGAGGCCAAGCCUGGGAGAAAAAAAAAAAAAAACUUCAUGCACUUAUUUUUGACCAUUUGUGUAUCAAAUCGUUUCCAAUUUCUCAGAACAUGUUCCAGAGGAGUACCCACAGAGAAUGGUUCGUUUCCCAUCUUGUGAUGCAGGAGCGUGGGAGAAACACUGGUCCUUGUGUCAUGGAGUUGAAGAAUGAAUCUCGAAGACAACAGAGAGUGAGCAAAGCAACAGAGUUUAUUGAAUGAAAGCAUAAAACUCUCAAGAGUGAGAGGGGUCUCAACUGCGUAGCCACUUAGGUUUCUGCCUCUGACUUUUUAUUGGGACGUUAUCAGAAAGUUUUUGAGACUCCGUGCAUGGCACCUAGAC